UACGUAGGUGGCAAGCGUUGUCCGGAAUUAUUGGGCGUAAAGCGCGCGCAGGCGGUCUUUUAAGUCUGAUGUGAAAGCCCACGGCUCAACCGUGGAGGGUCAUUGGAAACUGGAGGACUUGAGUGCAGGAGAGAAGAGUGGAAUUCCACGUGUAGCGGUGAAAUGCGUAGAGAUGUGGAGGAACACCAGUGGCGAAGGCGACUCUUUGGCCUGUAACUGACGCUGAGGCGCGAAAGCGUGGGGAGCAAACAGG
rnacentral:rRNA from 1 species